rnacentral:rRNA from 1 species
GCCUGCCGCGCCAUUCGUCGUCCCAGACGCAUUUGUCUCUCGUCCGAAGGACGCUGCAGCCGGUUCGGAAGUGCAAACGUGACGGCCUGAAGGUCGGGAAACGGCAGGUGGCCGGUGGCUCGCCACGUGCGGGUCGUCGGUUGUUAGCCUUCCCGUCAGUGGCCCGUCUCCGGACCGAGGUGUCGCGAGUCCCCUCCCGGGGACUCCACGUCUCCACCCCCGAGUCUGCGGGACGGCAGACGGCGAGAGUGGUUCAGCUCCACCGCCGCACGCGCGAUGCGUGGGCAGGGGAGACGACCGCUCCGAUGGCCGCGGCGAACCCGCGGGGGACAGGAGGCUGGCAGCGAGUAGGUCGGUCACCCACCCGACCCGUCUUGAAACACGGACCAAGGAGUCUAACAUGUGCGCGAGUCAAUGGGUCUUGAACAGGCCCA